rnacentral:tRNA from 1 species
AAGCUCUGAGGUGUACAACAUAUUAGAUUGCAAAUCUAAAGAAGCAAAUAAGCGUUUGCCGGGGCUUUCC